CGUCUUUUUGCUGACUUUCUGUAUGUAUUGAAAUUGAUUGAUUUUGAUGUAUCAAAAUGUGUCAGCACGUAUGAAGGGCAGCCAAGCGAUGUUCAAAGAAACUAAAGUUGUCGAUAUGUUUAGAUUAUGUCGUCAAAAUGGAUCGUCUUUUUUUUUACUUAUUCCAUUAAGUAUAACGCAGUUAGAGUCAAUAACCGUGACCCAUUUCAAUACAUCAAAAGUGCCUCGCUUGGCAAAAUGCCUCAUCUUUAUGUCCAGCCCUUUUUAGUUUGGCUAAGUAAUUUGAUACAGUGGAAUCUUGCUAGAAGGGUAACCCUCCUUUGAAACAUCUAUUUUGAACACGUGAACUACAGACUACAGUUUCUUUCUUUAUUGUAAAGUAAUUCUAGAUAAUAUGUUGACACUCUGAAUCUUUGGAAUUAUGUAUUUUAAUCAUUGGCAAAAGUUUGGGUUCGGGGAAAUCCC